CGUGGAGCGGCUCUCGCGAACCCGCCGCCGCCGCGACACGGAAUUUUCAGGCGACGCCGCUCGCCGCCGGAGAAGGGGUCGGCGCCGGCGGCGAGAGGGGAAGGCAAAGAUGAGGAGCAGCGAGGCCAUGGAGCUCCUCGGCCUCCCGGCCCACUCCCGCCCGUCUCCUUCCGAGGUUAAGGCUGCGUAUAGGAGGAUGGUGAUGGAAUCCCAUCCUGAUCGUGUCCCGACGCAUCAGAAGUCUCAAGCCGAGUCUAAAUUCAAGCAGGUCAGAUCUCGGAAGCAUAUUCUUGUUUGAAGGAUGGAAGAAGAUAUGGAAGUAGGAUGGAAGUCCAUGUAAUGAGGUCUGGUGUUCCAACGGGAUAUGGACGAUCAAAUAAAACAUUGGUCAAAGCCCCUUUUCUACUCAUAAUUUUUGCAGCGGUUUCUUUGGGUGGAUUCAGCGCUUCAAGAGCAUACCAGCGGCAGAAAGCAGUCUGUUCCUCUCAGAACCCAUUUCUUCCAUAGAGCAAGAUGGUUGUAGAAUUUCCCUAUUCACAAGGGAGCAGAGUUCUGUGUACAUUGUAAAACAAUCAUGCUGUGAACAAAAGCGCUGAUUGGUCUUUUCUGUGUACAUUGUAAAAACAAUCAAAGUAUCGAACUGUGAAUAAAAGCAUCAAUCAAUCUUUGUGAUUGCA